AUGUUUUAAAGAUGUGAGUGAGCUCGUGGGAUUAAAGGCUGUGGUAGGGUGGGAAGAAGCCAGCCAGGCUGUUUGCUAAUCUCAGAGAAUGUAUGUGCUCUAUGAGAGAGAUCUGAGCUAAUUCUGAAGGCAGCAAGGACCCUGAAACUUUGCCAGCUCUUCAUUGGCAUUGUAAAUGGCAGGGCCAUGGCAAAGGGUCCUGCUACAUCUGCACUUGGUGGAGAUGUUUAUUCAUUUCAAGAUCCCAGACUGGAAUGUUAGAGGAAGAACAGCUAGCCAAUAGAACCUCUGAAUGUCUUGUCUUGUCUGUCUGUCUGUCUGUCUGUCUGUCUGUCUGUCUCUCUAUGUGUCUGUCUCUCUGUGUGUCUAUCUGUCUGUCUGAGGCAAGAUACUGUCUGUUUGAGGCACUGUAGCCCAGAACUUGUUUCAAACUUUUAAAAAUCUCCUUUAUCUCAGUCUCCUGAAUGCUAGUAUUAUGGGCAAAACACACUGAGUGUCUGGGUGUCUUGUCUGCCUGAGUUCAUGUAGGGGUUAAUGGAAGGAAGGAAGGAAGCAGCCCCAGAUAAGCAUGUCCAGCAGGGUACAGAAUGGAGAGAAACCAGAAGCUCAGACCUGGGAUUCAGGAAGGAAGCUAAAAUACCUUUUGUGAAGCCCCGGCCGUGUGUGUGUGUGUGUGUGUGUGUGUGUGUGUGUGUGUGUGUGUGCCUCAAGCAAAGCCAGGCAGGGGACAGUCUGAGAGCUAUCCAGAGAAACAGUGUCCCCAGUUGCUUUCAACUUCCAAGUGGAACUAGGCUACAACUCUACAAACUCUACAGAGGAGUUAGUGGUCUCCACUUCAGAGACCCCAGCACAUAAUGCAAAAGUCCCAGGUCUCCAUUGCCCUUUCACAGACACUUCUAGGAUCUCUGGGGCCAUAUUUGGCCUUCUUGGUUGAGAGAAAUCAGGACUCUGGAACAGGCCCAGAGGACAGCAACAAACCUGAUUGAGCUUAAGAACAGGACUCAAGAGGCAUGCUAAAGAAAUUGGGGGUGAUCUGCUUAAAAUAGGAAGGGUGGAGUAGGAACUGAAUCCAGUCAGGGGAUAGAGGCCUGUGUCCGGUUAUUUUCUAGUUUCAAGGGCAGAAAAUGAGAAGCAAUCCUUCUAACUUGCCACCAGAUAGAUCAGGUAGGGAAGGAAUUUCAUGUAUGAAGCUUGGCCUUCCAUGCAGUUACUGUAAAGGCGAGCCCACUUCUUCCCCUGCAAGAAAAUCGUCUAGAGAACCCAACUUAUUCCCAAAAUACUUUCAAGUUUUCCUUAGCCCAAAUAGACUCCAGCUCUUCUGGCCUUCAGGAGCCUGUGGAACUUGAGGAACAUAGGGACCUGUAUUCAAUGUUCAAGAACAAGGCAGCUGCUCUUGGAGGAGACACAGAAGUCCUGGGAGCUAGAAACCAAUACAGACAUGGGAUGAUGCUUGAGCAUCCUCACAAAGAUGGGACAGGACUCCCUCAGGCUGAGUGACUUGAAUUAAAAAGGACCCAGGACUCACACACUUCAGCAGAGCAGGCUGUCACAGCCAAAGGGCUCUUCCGCUCACCAUGAAAUAAGGAACUGAGUAUCACUAAACCCUCUGAUCCUUCUUCAAGCCCUGGGAACUGUGCAGGGAGAGAGAAAAGCUGUUUUGUGAGCUGUCUCAAGUUCCAUCAAUAGGUCAAGCUGCCCACACUGGAGAGGCUGCCUGUAAAAUCUCACCCGAGGAAAAUUUGCCUCCGUGUUUCCUCUGCUCGUACUCAAUGGGAAUAGAGCUAAACGCAAGCUUGGUAAAGAGCAACAGCUGAGUAAUAAACAUGGAAAAGAAAUGGAAAAGAAAUAUUAAGAGAGUGUACAAAGUUCCCCAGCACACGCGAAUAAACCAUUUCUGUAUCCGUG
ensembl:processed_transcript A130023I24Rik RIKEN cDNA A130023I24 gene